CCCUUAGACGUUCUGGGCCGCACGCGCGCUACACUGACGAAGGCAACGAGCUUUCCUUUACCGAAAGGUACGGGUAAUCUUUUGAAACUUCGUCGUGCUGGGGAUAGAUCCUUGCAAUUUUUGAUCUUAAACGAGGAAUGCCUAGUAAGCGCAAGUCAUCAACUUGCGUUGAUUACGUCCCUGCCCUUUGUACGCACCGCCCGUCGCUACUACCGAUUGAAUGGUUUAGUGAGGCCUUCGGAUCCGCGACUCGUUUUGUGGAGAAGUUGGACAAACUCAGUCAUUUAGAGGAAGUAAAAGUCGUAACA
rnacentral:rRNA from 1 species